GUUGAACGCUGGCGGCGUGCCUAAUACAUGCAAGUCGAGCGAACAGACGAGGAGCUUUCUCCUCUUACGUUAGCGGCGGACGGGUGAGUAACACGUGUAUAACCUACCUAUAAGACUGGGAUAACUUCGUGAAACCGGAGCUAAUACCGGAUAAUAUAUUCAACCGCAUGGUUCAAUAGUGAAAGACGGCUUUGCUUUCACUUAUAGAUGGAUCCGCGCCGCAUUAGCUAGUUGGUAAGGUAACGGCUUACCAAGGCAACGAUGCGUAGCCGACCUGAGAGGGUGAUCGGCCACACUGGAACUGAGACACGGUCCAGACUCCUACGGGAGGCAGCAGUAGGGAAUCGUGCGCAAUGGGCGAAAGCCUGACGGAGCAACGCCGCGUGAAUGAUGAAGGUCUUCGGAUCGUAAAACUCUGUUAGUAGGGAAGAACAAAUGUGUAAGUAACUAUGCACGUCUUGACGGUACCUAAUCAGAAAGCCACGGCUAACUACGUG
rnacentral:rRNA from 1 species